GUGCGAGACCGAUAGCGAACAAGUACCGUGAGGGAAAGAUGAAAAGAACUUUGAAAAGAGAGUUAAAGAGUACCUGAAACUGCUGAAAGGGAAGCGAAUCGUAUCCAGUGUCUAUAAUCUGCGGCAUAUUUCAUUGGCGGCGGUGCGCGUGCUUUUGCGUCGGAAGCGGCUUUUGUUGCUCUGUGCUUUUGCUGUGCGUGGUGUUGCUGGUGCCCUGUGUUGCGGUGGGACGUCAGAGUCAGUUUGUAUGCUGCGGGAAAUGGCUGCCGAGGAGGUAGGUCGAGAUUUCGGUCUUGGCUGUUAUAUCUUGGUGGUUUGUUGUCGUGGUUGAGACUGAGGUGCCUACAAUGUGCUUUUGAGUGUACCGGGUUCUCAUUUGGUGGACUGUUUGGAUAGCUUGCUAUGCUUGUGGUUCUUUCAUCGGGUGAUUGAGUCUGGUGGUAACUUGUUGCUGUUCGGGACUUUGAA
rnacentral:rRNA from 2 species